rnacentral:rRNA from 1 species
GAUGAACGCUGGCGGCGUGCCUAAUACAUGCAAGUCGAGCGAACAGACGAGGAGCUUGCUUCUCUGACGUUAGCGGCGGACGGGUGAGUAACACGUGGAUAACCUACCUAUAAGACUGGGAUAACUUCGGGAAACCGGAGCUAAUACCGGAUAAUAUAUUGAACCGCAUGGUUCAAUAGUGAAAGACGGUUUUGCUGUCACUUAUAGAUGGAUCCGCGCCGCAUUAGCUAGUUGGUAAGGUAACGGCUUACCAAGGCAACGAUGCAUAGCCGACCUGAGAGGGUGAUCGGCCACACUGGAACUGAGACACGGUCCAGACUCCUACGGGAGGCAGCAGUAGGGAAUCUUCCGCAAUGGGCGAAAGCCUGACGGAGCAACGCCGCGUGAGUGAUGAAGGUCUUCGGAUCGUAAAACUCUGUUAUUAGGGAAGAACAAAUGUGUAAGUAACUGUGCACGUCUUGACGGUACCUAAUCAGAAAGCCACGGCUAACUACGUG